CAGUAGCCGCGGUAAUACGUAGGGUGCAAGCGUUAAUCGGAAUUAUUGGGCGUAAAGCGAGUGCAGACGGUUACUUAAGCCAGAUGUGAAAUCCCCAAGCUUAACUUGGGACGUGCAUUUGAAACUGGGUGACUAGAGUGUGUCAGAGGGAGGUAGAAUUCCACAUGUAGCGGUGGAAUGCGUAGAGAUGUGGAGGAAUACCGAUGGCGAAGGCAGCCUCCUGGGCCAAUACUGACGCUCAUGCACGAAAGCGUGGGGAGCAAACAGGAUUAGAUACCCCCGUAGUCCCUGUCUCUUAUAC
rnacentral:rRNA from 1 species